AUCCAUUGGAGGGCAAGUCUGCUGCCAGCAGCCUCGGUAAUUCCAGCUCCAAAAGUAUAUAUUUAAGUUGUUGCGUUUAAAAAGCUCGUAGUUGGAUUUUGGGCGCAGGCGGCCGGUCCGUCGCAAGGCGUGUACUGGACGUCCUGGCCUUCCCUCCGGUUCUCCGCCGGUGCUCUUGACUGAGUGUCGGCGGCGGCCGGAACGUUUACUUUGAAAAAAUUAGAGUGUUCAAAGCAGGCUCUCGAGCCUGGAUAAUGGUGCAUGGAAUAAUGGAAUAGGACCUCGGUUCUAUUUUGUUGGUUUUCGGAGCGCGAGGUAAUGAUUAAGAGGGACAGACGGGGGCAUUCGUACUGUGCCGUUAGAGGUGAAAUUCUUGGAUCGGCGCAAGACGAACGACUGCGAAAGCAUUUGCCAAGAAUGUUUUCUUUAAUCAAGAGCGAAAGUCAGAGGUUCGAAGACGAUCAGAUACCGUCCUAGUUCUGACUAUAAACGAUGCCAACUAGCGAUCGGGGGGCGUUACAUUGACGACCCCUCCGGCAGCUUACGGGAAACCAAAGUCUUUGGGUUCCGGGGGAAGUAUGGUUGCAAAGCUGAAACUUAAAGGAAUUGACGGAAGGGCACCACCAGGAGUGGAGCCUGCGGCUUAAUUUGACUCAACACGGGAAAUCUCACCCGGACGACAAAAGCAUUUUGACAGCCCUGAGAACAUUAAGUAUCUAAUAGGAUGGGAAAAUCAAGGAGCGUUAACACACGGGCAAUCGUCCGAUCACCUUGCGCCCAUCGUAGGG
rnacentral:ncRNA from 1 species